UUGAACGCUGGCGGCAUGCCUUACACAUGCAAGUCGAACGGCAGCACGGGGCAACCUGGUGGCGAGUGGCGAACGGGUGAGUAAUAUAUCGGAACAUGCCCUAGAGUGGGGGAUAACGUAGCGAAAGUCACGCUAAUACCGCAUACGAACUAAGGUUGAAAGUGGGGGAUCGCAAGACCUCAUGCUCAUGGAGUGGCCGAUAUCUGAUUAGCUAGUUGGUGAGGUAAAGGCUCACCAAGGCGACGAUCCGUAGCUGGUCUGAGAGGACGACCAGCCACACUGGAACUGAGACACGGUCCAGACUCCUACGGGAGGCAGCAGUGGGGAAUUUUGGACAAUGGGGGAAACCCUGAUCCAGCCAUGCCGCGUGAGUGAAGAAGGCCUUCGGGUUGUAAAGCUCUUUCGGCAGGAACGAAACGGUAAGGGCUAAUAUCCUUUGCUAAUGACGGUACCUGAAGAAGAAGCACCGGCUAACUACGU
rnacentral:rRNA from 1 species